UACGUAGGGUGCAAGCGUUAAUCGGAAUUACUGGGCGUAAAGCGUGCGCAGGCGGUUAUGUAAGACAGAUGUGAAAUCCCCGGGCUCAACCUGGGAACUGCAUUUGUGACUGCAUUGCUGGAGUGCGGCAGAGGGGGAUGGAAUUCCGCGUGUAGCAGUGAAAUGCGUAGAUAUGCGGAGGAACACCGAUGGCGAAGGCAAUCCCCUGGGCCUGCACUGACGCUCAUGCACGAAAGCGUGGGGAGCAAACAGG
rnacentral:rRNA from 1 species